rnacentral:rRNA from 1 species
CCUUUUAAUUGGAGGCCUGCAUGAAUGGCUUGACGAGCGCCCUGCUGUCUCUCUUCCCAUGAACUUUUAAAUUAACUUUCGCGUGCAAAGGCGCGAAUGGCUGAGUUAGACGAAAAGACCCUAUGCAUCUUUACUGAGAGAGAAGAAAGUUCUUUAGCUUGGUUUAGCUGGGGCAGCUGAGGAAAAGGCAAAAUUUCCUUAAUAUAAAUCAUACUGGUGGGUUUAGAUCCAGGCUCUUUAGCGGGCUUGACAAGUAGAAAAGUUACGCUAGGGAUAACAGCGUUAUCCUUCUGUGGAGGUCUUAUCUGCAGGAGGGAUUGCGACCUCGAUGUUGAAUUAGGGAUAUACCAGAAAGGCGCAGAAGCUUUUAUUGUGGGUCU